rnacentral:rRNA from 1 species
ACGCACGCUGGCGGCGUGCUUCACCCCUGCCAGUCUAACGGAAAGGCCCUGCUUUUGUGGGGUGCUCGAGUGGCGAACGGGUGAGUAACACGUGAGUAACCUGCCCUUGACUUUGGGAUAACUUCAGGAAACUGGGGCUAAUACCGGAUAUGAGCUCCUGCUGCAUGGUGGGGGUUGGAAAGUUUCGGCGGUUGGGGAUGGACUCGCGGCUUAUCAGCUUGUUGGUGGGGUAGUGGCUUACCAAGGCUUUGACGGGUAGCCGGCCUGAGAGGGUGACCGGCCACAUUGGGACUGAGAUACGGCCCAGACUCCUACGGGAGGCAGCAGUGGGGAAUAUUGCACAAUGGGCGGAAGCCUGAUGCAGCAACGCCGCGUGCGGGAUGACGGCCUUCGGGUUGUAAACCGCUUUCGCCUGUGACGAAGCGUGAGUGACGGUAAUGGGUAAAGAAGCACCGGCUAACUACGUG